AUUGAACGCUGGCGGCAGGCCUAACACAUGCAAGUCGAGCGAGCGGCGGACGGGUGAGUAAUGUCUGGGAAACUGCCUGAUGGAGGGGGAUAACUAAUGGAAAAGGUAGCUAAUACCGCAUACCAUCAGAUGUGCCCAGAUGGGGUUGGCUAGUAGGUGGGGUAACGGCUCACCUAGGCGACGAUCCCUAGCGGGUCUGAGAGGAUGACCAGCCACACGUGAACUGUGACACGGUCCAGACUCCUACGGGAGGCAGCAGUGGGGAAUAUUGCACAAUGGGCGCAAGCCUGAUGCAGCCAUGCCGCGGGGUUGAAGAAGGCCUUCGGGUUGUAAAGCACUUUCAGCGGGGAGGCGUUACCCGCAGAAGAAGCACCGGCUAACUCCGUGCCAGCAGCCGCGGUAAUUC
rnacentral:rRNA from 1 species